UACGAAGGGUGCUAGCGUUGCUCGGAAUCACUGGGCGUAAAGGGUGCGUAGGCGGGUCUUUAAGUCAGGGGUGAAAUCCGGGAGCUCAACUCCAGAACUGCCUUUGAUACUGAAGAUCUUGAGUUCGGGAGAGGUGAGUGGAACUGCGAGUGUAGAGGUGAAAUUCGUAGAUAUUAGGAAGAACACCAGUGGCGAAGGCGGCGCACUGGAUCGGUACUGACGCUGAGGUGCGAAAGCGUGGGGAGCAAACAGG
rnacentral:rRNA from 1 species